rnacentral:rRNA from 1 species
GACGAACGCUGGCGGCGUGCUUAACACAUGCAAGUCGAGCGAGGCCCUCUCUUCGGAGAGGUGCCCUAGCGGCGAACGGGUGAGUAACACGUGGGCAACCUGCCCCUAGCACUGGGAUAACUCCGGGAAACCGGGGCUAAUACCGGAUACGACUUCCGAGGGCAUCCUUGGAAGUGGAAAGGACUCUGGCUAGGGAUGGGCCCGCGGCCUAUCAGCUUGUUGGUGGGGUAACGGCCCACCAAGGCAACGACGGGUAGCCGGCCUGAGAGGGCGACCGGCCACACUGGGACUGAGACACGGCCCAGACUCCUACGGGAGGCAGCAGUGGGGAAUAUUGCACAAUGGGCGAAAGCCUGAUGCAGCGACGCCGCGUGAGGGAUGACGGCCUUCGGGUUGUAAACCUCUUUCAGCAGGGACGAAGCGAAAGUGACGGUACCUGCAGAAGAAGCACCGGCCAACUACGUGCCAGCAGCCGCGGUAAUACGUAGGGUGCAAGCGUUGUCCGGAAUUAUUGGGCGUAAAGAGCUCGUAGGCGGCUUGUCGCGUCGGCUGUGAAAACCUGGGGCUCAACCCCGGGCUUGCAGCCGAUACGGGCAAGCUAGAAUUCGGUAGGGGAGACUGGAAUUCCUGGUGUAGCGGUGAAAUGCGCAGAUAUCAGGAGGAACACCGGUGGCGAAGGCGGGUCUCUGGGCCGAUAUUGACGCUGAGGAGCGAAAGCGUGGGGAGCGAACAGGAUUAGAUACCCUGGUAGUCCACGCCGUAAACGUUGGGAACUAGGUGUGGGCCACAUUCCACGUGGUCUGUGCCGCAGCUAACGCAUUAAGUUCCCCGCCUGGGGAGUACGGCCGCAAGGCUAAAACUCAAAGGAAUUGACGGGGGCCCGCACAAGCGGCGGAGCAUGUGGCUUAAUUCGAUGCAACGCGAAGAACCUUACCUGGGUUUGACAUGCAGGGAAAUCUCGUAGAGAUACGGGGUCCGUAAGGGCCUUGCACAGGUGGUGCAUGGCUGUCGUCAGCUCGUUGUCGUGAAGAUGUUGGGAUUAAGUCCCGCAACGAGCGCAACCUCGUCUAUGUUGCCAGCGAGUAAUGUCGGGRACUCAUAGGAAGACUGCCGGGGUCAACUCGGAGGAAGGUGGGGAUGACGUCAAGUCAUCAUGCCCCUUAUAUCCAGGGCUGCACACAUGCUACAAUGGCCGGUACAAAGAGCUGCGAUWCCGCAAGGUGGAGCGAAUCUCAUAAAGCCGGUCUCAGUUCGGAUUGAGGUCUGCAACUCGACCUCAUGAAGUCGGAGUCGCUAGUAAUCGCASAUCAGCAACGCUGUGGUGAAUACGUUCCCGGGCCUUGUAC